rnacentral:rRNA from 1 species
CCUACGGGUGGCUGCAGUGAGGAAUAUUGGUCAAUGGCCGAGAGGCUGAACCAGCCAAGUCGCGUGAGGGAUGAAUGUCCUAUGGGUUGUAAACCUCUUUUGUCAGGGAGUAAAGUCAUCCACGUGUGGGUGUUGGAGAGUACCUUAAGAAAAAGCAUCGGCUAACUCCGUGCCAGCAGCCGCGGUAAUACGGAGGAUCCGAGCGUUAUCCGGAUUUAUUGGGUUUAAAGGGUGCGUAGGCGGGUUAUUAAGUCAGCGGUAAAAUCGUGGGGCUCAACGCCAUCCAGCCGUUGAAACUGAUGAUCUUGAGUGGGCGAGAAGUAGGCGGAAUGCGUGGUGUAGCGGUGAAAUGCAUAGAUAUCACGAAGAACUCCGAUUGCGAAGGCAGCACACCGG